UACAGAGGGGGCAAGCGUUGUUCGGAAUUACUGGGCGUAAAGCGUGCGUAGGCGGUUCGUUAAGUCUGUCGUGAAAGCCCUGGGCUCAACCUGGGAAUUGCGAUGGAUACUGGCGAGCUAGAGUACGGUAGAGGAUGGUGGAAUUCCCGGUGUAGCGGUGAAAUGCGUAGAGAUCGGGAGGAACACCCGUGGCGAAGGCAGAUCUCUGGGCCUAACUGACGCUGAGGAGCGAAAGCAUGGGGAGCGAACAGG
rnacentral:rRNA from 1 species